CCUACGGGUGGCAGCAGUGGGGAAUAUUGGACAAUGGGCGAAAGCCUGAUCCAGCCAUGCCGCGUGUGUGAAGAAGGCCUUCGGGUUGUAAAGCACUUUCAGUGGGGAAGAAAGCCUUGGGGCUAAUACCCUCGAGGAAGGACAUCACCCACAGAAGAAGCACCGGCUAACUCCGUGCCAGCAGCCGCGGUAAUACGGAGGGUGCGAGCGUUAAUCGGAAUUACUGGGCGUAAAGCGCGCGUAGGCGGUCUGAUAAGCCGGUUGUGAAAGCCCCGGGCUCAACCUGGGAACGGCAUCCGGAACUGUCAGGCUAGAGUGCAGGAGAGGAAGGUAGAAUUCCCGGUGUAGCGGUGAAAUGCGUAGAGAUCGGGAGGAAUACCAGUGGCGAAGGCGGCCUUCUGGACUGACACUGACGCUGAGGUGCGAAAGCGUGGGUAGCAAACAGGAUUAGAUACCCCAGAGUC
rnacentral:rRNA from 1 species